rnacentral:rRNA from 1 species
GAUGAACGCUGACAGAAUGCUUAACACAUGCAAGUCGAUGGGGAAGUGGUGCUUGCACCAUGGCAACCAUGGCGGACGGAUGAGUAACGCGUAAGGGACUUACCUGCAGGACUGGGAUAACAGGGGGAAACUCCUGACAAGACCGGAUAAUGUCAUGGAGCUGCAUGGCUUUAUGAUGAAAGGAGACGCCUGCGGAGAGCCUUGCGUCCUAUUAGCUAGUUGGUGAGGUAAUGGCUCACCAAGGCGAAGAUAGGUAGCCGGCCUGAGAGGGUGGACGGCCACAAGGGGACUGAGAUACGGCCCUUACUCCUACGGGAGGCAGCAGUGGGGAAUAUUGGACAAUGGGGGCAACCCUGAUCCAGCAAUUCUGUGUGCACGAAGAAGGUUUUCGGAUUGUAAAGUGCUUUCAGCAGGGAAGAAGUAAGUGACGGUACCUGCAGAAGAAGCGACGGCUAAAUACGUG